AUCAUUACCGAUCAAUCCAAGUACUAAUCCUUCGGGAUUUCUACUACACCGUGAACCGUAUUUAACCGUUGGGGGUCGCCUUAUUGGCGUUAAAUGGCGACGGACUCGUUGUGUGGCAUCGCAUCAAGAAGGUAUCGUUAGAGAUGGUCGUUCAUUCGAUCUGAUAUUUCGAUCCUUUUGCGUGUCCUGGCGAUGGCGCGUCGUAGCCCCUGCAUUUAUUUUUUUAACAAACACUUGAUUAAAACUGAACGAUCGUCCUGUGAAAACCGGGCGAAAAAAAUUAAAAGUGAAAAACUUUUAACGGUGGAUCUCUUGGCUCGUGCAUCGAUGAAGAACGCAGCCAGGUGCGAUAAUUAGUGUGAAUUGCAGAAUUCAGUGAAUCAUCGAAUCUUUGAACGCAAAUGGCGCUCUUGGGUUUUCCCAGGAGCAUGUCUGUCUGAGUGUCGGUUUCCAAAAAGAGCGCAAUUGCGAUUUCUAAACCGGAUCGCAGUUGCGGUGUUGAGGCGUCGUGGCUUUUUCUUAAGCCGCGUCCCUUGAAAUGCAGCAGGACCGACGUUCGCGAAUCGCAUCGCGUGUUCGGGAAGGCCAAAAAUACAUUUGCCCUUGUUGGACCGCGAUCGUCGCUGUUCGUCGUGCCGUCGGCAAUUGGUGCAGUUUCUACGACUGUGCUACUAUCUUGACCUCAGAUCAGGCAAGGCUACCCGCUGAAUUUAAGCAUAUUAAUAAGCGGAGGAAAAGAAACUAACAAGGAUUCC
rnacentral:rRNA from 1 species